AUAUGAAUAAAACAUAACUCUCCUUAGGGAGAUUCAUCCGUGGACGUAGGCAAAACUUGCCGAACCACGUAAAAUUCGUGUUUCUCAUCUUUAUGUUUGUUUCAUGUUUUUAACCCUGUUUUCCUCAUCAUCACCAGAAUCAUCGUGUUUAGUGCCUGGAAAUAUUUCUGGGUACAAACAUUGGCGCCGACUAAGGGGACUACGAGAAAUGGAAUCGUGUUUUCCCGUUGAGAAAAGUAGUACGGAAUGCUUCAAAAUCGCGUAUGUGGAAAAGCUGUUUGAACGUCGUGAAAUAAUCACUGUUGCAGUUCAUUUGAUCGUAACUGAUGCAGUCCAGUUUGAUCGCAGCUGCUGCUGUCCAGCUAAUCGCAGUUACUGCAGUCCAGUUGAUCGCAACUGUUGCAGUCCAGAUUCGCGGUUCGAGAUUUUGUUGAAACUAUUACCUUCGAAAACCACCCAAACUGUACCACUACAAGGGUUGUUGAAACUAUUAUCAGGACGUUCAGUCUGUGACAAAAGAUGGAGAGAAAAUCACCAAGAUUGUUGCCGGGAUGUUUGAUCCGCAGCAUGUUCAAGUCCAAAGUUCAAAAAGAUUUGCUUCUCAAAUAACGCAGUAUCCACAUGUUCGAGUUUAGACAGAAACUACACAACAGGUGCAGAACAAAAACUCCAAUUUCGGCUCAGAAAAGCUAGACUUGGUCAACUUUUUCUCUGUCUGGCCUUACUGAACGCUAGCUAUACUGUUGAUUUUGUAAGCCAUGGUCACCUAGAUACCCCAAAUUCAAAUGUCAAGGUCGCUUUAAUCGCGAAGAGCCAGAAAUAGGGAAGAACCCAUAUUCUGUUGUAGUGUCUAUUAAAUCACUCAUGCACUGGCAGAGACCAAGUUGAUUGGGCAGAGAUAAUAUUUAUCGUGGAAGCUAGAAAUCAAUAGGUCUUGAAGUGAGUACUACUAAACACAUCAGAAGCAAAUAUGGUUCUUAUUGGUCUCAAGGCCUGGGAAAGAAAUAAGAUCUUUCAUAGAGUCAGUUAUGUUUGUAUUAUUUUCUUUUGUUUCAUGAAUGAAGAAGGGUUUGUGUUCUUUGUGUAACAACUCACUUGGAUAUAGCAUAAAAGCAGUAAUCUUUGUUUCAGUGUUUGUCUAUGUGGGUGGUGUGUGUAUUAAGGGCUUUGGUCGUAUGGCAAGGUGUUUCACAGUUCUCAGUUUUUUUUUCAUUAAAAAUGAAACAACUGACGAGAAAUGGAAUAUAUAUCAUUCAGUUUUGAAAGCAUAUAUUAUCGAUCGUUUCGGCCUUGGAAAAUCAUUUGUGUAUUAAUAAGAAUUUAAUUAUUUUGUAGCUUCAA